rnacentral:rRNA from 1 species
UACGUAGGGUGCAAGCGUUGUCCGGAAUUAUUGGGCGUAAAGAGCUCGUAGGCGGUUUGUCGCGUCUGCUGUGAAAACUCGGGGCUCAACUCCGAGCUUGCAGUGGGUACGGGCAGACUAGAGUGCGGUAGGGGAGACUGGAAUUCCUGGUGUAGCGGUGGAAUGCGCAGAUAUCAGGAGGAACACCGGUGGCGAAGGCGGGUCUCUGGGCCGUAACUGACGCUGAGGAGCGAAAGCGUGGGGAGCAAACGGG